UACGUAGGGUGCGAGCGUUAAUCGGAAUUACUGGGCGUAAAGCGUGCGCAGGCGGUUCGUUGUGUCGGUGGUGAAAUCCCCGGGCUUAACCUGGGAAUGGCCAUGGAAACUGGCGAACUGGAGUGUGGCAGAGGGGGGUGGAAUUCCGCGUGUAGCAGUGAAAUGCGUAGAGAUGCGGAGGAACACCGAUGGCGAAGGCAGCCCCCUGGGCUAACACUGACGCUCAGGCACGAAAGCGUGGGGAGCAAACAGG
rnacentral:rRNA from 1 species